CUGCUUGUCCCAAUGGUGGGGCCACCACUGAUUUCAGAUUAAUGCUCAAGUUUAUGAAGAUUCAUUACUUUUAUUACUUCUCACCUUACAAAUAUCUGUUUGUUUUAGAAGUAAAGGAGACCAACUUUCUGCAGAAAUCUUUAAUGAUAAAGAUGAUCUUAAGUUCAAAUCAUCACGUGAAGACACAAAUAUUGAGUAUUUCUUAGUAGCAGCCGGACGAAGCCAUCUCUACCUGAUUAAUGAGGUACUUUUUUUUGACAGAAUUACUUAGGUACUCAGGCAAAAUAUUAUGUGAAACAUCAUUUGAUCUAUAAACUCCAAGUGGAUACCAUAUUGUAGUGCCAUUUGCUUCUUAAUGGACUUAAGACCUAUGGAAGAUGUUCCACAACCCCAAAUUAUAGUUGAGGAGCCAGCUAUAAUAAUUCUGUGAGAUGGUACUUACUGGAGGCG
rnacentral:lncRNA from 1 species